UACGUAGGGUGCAAGCGUUAAUCGGAAUUACUGGGCGUAAAGCGUGCGCAGGCGGUGAUGUAAGACAGGUGUGAAAUCCCCGGGCUUAACCUGGGAACUGCAUUUGUGACUGCAUCGCUGGAGUGCGGCAGAGGGGGAUGGAAUUCCGCGUGUAGCAGUGAAAUGCGUAGAGAUGCGGAGGAACACCGAUGGCGAAGGCAGCCCCCUGGGCUGACACUGACGCUCAGGCACGAAAGCGUGGGGAGCAAACAGG
rnacentral:rRNA from 1 species